AUUGAACGCUGGCGGCAGGCUUAACACAUGCAAGUCGAGCGGGGUGAUGGUGCUUGCACUAUCACUUAGCGGCGGACGGGUGAGUAAUGCUUAGGAAUCUGCCUAUUAGUGGGGGACAACAUCUCGAAAGGGAUGCUAAUACCGCAUACGUCCUACGGGAGAAAGCAGGGGAUCACUUGUGACCUUGCGCUAAUAGAUGAGCCUAAGUCGGAUUAGCUAGUUGGUGGGGUAAAGGCCUACCAAGGCGACGAUCUGUAGCGGGUCUGAGAGGAUGAUCCGCCACACUGGGACUGAGGCACGGCCCAGACUCCUACGGGAGGCAGCAGUGGGGAAUAUUGGACAAUGGGGGGAACCCUGAUCCAGCCAUGCCGCGUGUGUGAAGAAGGCCUUAUGGUUGUAAAGCACCUUAAGCGAGGAGGAGGCUCUUUUGGUUAAUACCCAAGAUGAGUGGACGUUACUCGCAGAAUAAGCACCGGCUAACUCUGUGCCAGCCGCCGCAGUAA
rnacentral:rRNA from 1 species